GUGUUUCCGCACACGCCGUCGAGGUUAUUAUUUGAUUGAAGUCUUUAGUUUAGUUCAAACCGAAAUGGAAGCAUCUAAUAGCAAUUGGCGCCUUCGAGCUUGGAUGGAUACCACCUACAUUGCCAAUAUGAAUUCCUUACUACGAGUCAAACAUAAGGCGUGCAUUGGACAAACUCCAUUUAGGUGUUGUUUAGACAUUGUAGAUCCUUUAGAGGUCAAUUUAAAAUUAUUGAAAGAAAUGGUAUGUCAG